AUACGUAGGGUGCGAGCGUUGUCCGGAAUUACUGGGCGUAAAGAGCUCGUAGGUGGUUUGUCGCGUCGUCUGUGAAAUUCCGGGGCUUAACUCCGGGCGUGCAGGCGAUACGGGCAUAACUUGAGUACUGUAGGGGAGACUGGAAUUCCUGGUGUAGCGGUGAAAUGCGCAGAUAUCAGGAGGAACACCGGUGGCGAAGGCGGGUCUCUGGGCAGUAACUGACGCUGAGGAGCGAAAGCAUGGGUAGCGAACAGGAUUAGAUACCCUGGUAGUCCAUGCCGUAAACGGUGGGCGCUAGGUGUAGGGGUCUUCCACGACUUCUGUGCCGUAGCUAACGCAUUAAGCGCCCCGCCCGGGGAGUACGGCCGCAAGGCUAAAACUCAAAGGAAUUGACGGGG
rnacentral:rRNA from 1 species